GGUCUAAACUUGGGGAAGAGACCCUAUCAAUAUUGCCUCUGCUUUUGUGAACAGAGUAGUAGUAGUGCAAUAUUGCUUAUAGGGUCUUUUCUUUGAGAUACCUCCCAGAGUGCC